rnacentral:rRNA from 1 species
AUUGAACGCUGGCGGCAGGCCUAACACAUGCAAGUCGAACGAGUGGCGGACGGGUGAGUAAUGUUUGGGAAUCUGGCUUAUGGAGGGGGAUAACUACGGGAAACGGUAGCUAAUACCGCAUACCAUCGGAUGUGCCCAGGUGGGAUUAGCUAGUUGGUGAGGUAAAGGCUCACCAAGGCGACGAUCUCUAGCUGGUCUGAGAGGAUGACCAGCCACACUGGGACUGAGACACGGCCCAGACGCCUACGGGAGGCAGCAGUGGGGAAUAUUGCGCAAUGGGGGCAACCCUGACGCAGCCAUGCCGCGUGGAUGAAGAAGGCCUUCGGGUUGUAAAGUUCUUUCGGGAGGGAGGCGUUAACUACAGAAGAAGCACCGGCUAACUCCGUGCCAGCAGCCGCGGUAAUAC